rnacentral:rRNA from 1 species
CAGCUCUGUCUUUGGGGACGAUAAUGACGGUACCCAAGAAGGAAGCCACGGCUAACUACGUGCCAGCAGCCGCGGUAAUACGUAGGUGGCAAGCGUUGUCCGGAUUUACUGGGCGUAAAGGGAGCGUAGGCGGAUUUUUAAGUGGGAUGUGAAAUACCCGGGCUCAACCUGGGUGCUGCAUUCCAAACUGGGAAUCUAGAGUGCAGGAGGGGAGAGUGGAAUUCCUAGUGUAGCGGUGAAAUGCGUAGAGAUUAGGAAGAACACCAGUGGCGAAGGCGACUCUCUGGACUGUAACUGACGCUGAGGCUCGAAAGCGUGGGGAGCAAACAGGAUUAGAUA